rnacentral:rRNA from 1 species
UGGGGAAUUUUGGACAAUGGGCGCAAGCCUGAUCCAGCAAUGCCGCGUGCAGGAUGAAGGCCUUCGGGUUGUAAACUGCUUUUGUACGGAACGAAAAGCUUCUGGUUAAUACCUGGGAGUCAUGACGGUACCGUAAGAAUAAGCACCGGCUAGCUACGUGCCAGCAGCCGCGGUAAUACGUAGGGUGCGAGCGUUAAUCGGAAUUACUGGGCGUAAAGCGUGCGCAGGCGGUUAUGUAAGACAGAUGUGAAAUCCCCGGGCUCAACCUGGGACCUGCAUUUGUGACUACAUAGCUAGAGUACGGCAGAGGGGGAUGGAAUUCCGCGUGUAGCAGUGAAAUGCGUAGAUAUGCGGAGGAACACCGAUGGCGAAGGCAAUCCCCUGGGCCUGUACUGACGCCCAUGCACGAAAGCGUGGGGAGCAAACA